rnacentral:rRNA from 1 species
AACGAACGCUGGCGGCAUGCCUAACACAUGCAAGUCGAACGAGACCUUCGGGUCUAGUGGCGCACGGGUGCGUAACGCGUGGGAACCUGCCCUUAGGUUCGGAAUAACUCCCCGAAAGGGGUGCUAAUACCGGAUAAUGUCUUCGGACCAAAGAUUUAUCGCCUUUGGAUGGGCCCGCGUUGGAUUAGCUAGUUGGUAGGGUAAAAGCCUACCAAGGCGACGAUCCAUAGCUGGUCUGAGAGGAUGAUCAGCCACACUGGGACUGAGACACGGCCCAGACUCCUACGGGAGGCAGCAGUGGAGAAUAUUGGACAAUGGGCGAAAGCCUGAUCCAGCAAUGCCGCGUGAGUGAUGAAGGCCUUAGGGUUGUAGCUCUUUUACCCGGGAUGAUAAUGACAGUACCGGGAGAAUAAGCUCCGGCUAACUCCGUG